rnacentral:rRNA from 1 species
AUUGAACGCUGGCGGCAUGCCUUACACAUGCAAGUCGAACGGUAACAGGUCUUCGGAUGCUGACGAGUGGCGAACGGGUGAGUAAUACAUCGGAACGUGCCUAGUAGUGGGGGAUAACUACUCGAAAGAGUGGCUAAUACCGCAUGAGAUCUACGGAUGAAAGCAGGGGAUCGCAAGACCUUGUGCUACUAGAGCGGCCGAUGGCAGAUUAGGUAGUUGGUGGGAUAAAAGCUUACCAAGCCGACGAUCUGUAGCUGGUCUGAGAGGACGAUCAGCCACACUGGGACUGAGAAACGGCCCAGAUUCCUACGGGAGGCAGCAGUGGGGAAUUUGGGACAAUGGGCGCAAGCCUGAUCAGCAAUGCCGCGUGCAGGAUGAAGGCCUUCGGGUUGUAAACUGCUUUUGUACGGAACGAAAAGCCCCGGGUUAAUACCCUGGGGUCAUGACGGUACCGUAAGAAUAAGCACCGGCUAACUACGUGCCAGCAGCCGCAGUAA